GACGAACGCUGGCGGCGUGCUUAACACAUGCAAGUCGAACGAUGAUCCCGGAGCUUGCUCCGGUGGAUUAGUGGCGAACGGGUGAGUAACACGUGAGUAACCUGCCCUUGACUCUGGGAUAACUGCGGGAAACUGUAGCUAAUACCGCAUGACCCCGCAAGGGAAAAGCGCUUUACCGCGCGCCGACGGAUGAGCCUAUCUUCCAUCAGGCAGUUGGUGGGGUAAUGGCCUACCAAACCUAUGACGGAUACCCGCCCUGAGAGGGGAAACGGGCAGAAUGGGACUGAGACACGGCCCAAACUCCUACGGGAGGCAGCAGUGGGGAAUAUUGGACAAUGGGCGCAAGCCUGAUCCAGCCAUGCCGCGUGAGUGAUGAAGGCCUUAGGGUUGUAAAGCUCUUUCGUCCGGGACGAUAAUGACGGUACCGGAAGAAGAAGCCCCGGCUAACUUCGUGCCAGCCGCCGCCGUAA
rnacentral:rRNA from 1 species